AAUUUUUUCAAAGAGACUCUCUAAUUCGGCGCUUUCUUCUGGCCUCCAUCGCCUCUCUCACGAUUUUUUUCGAAGCUCAGAGAUCUGGUGUCCUCCCUUGUAACCAGAGAGUAACUUAGCGCUUUCAAUCCGGUCUCAACAACUCAACAACGGCGAAUCAAGCAGCUUCUGUGGGUUCAGAUUCAACGAGAACAUCGAUUUUUUUAGAUCUGCUUGCGAACGAGCUGUACACGAGGUCUUUUUCUAUGCUGUUUCAGGUGACCUCAACAUAGUGAGCAACAAAAGAGGUCCACCGUCGACUUCCUCACCGCCGUGCAGCUUUGUCUGGUAUCUUAGAAAUCUCAACAAUUCAUCACUGUCAUCUCCGAAAGCAGACUUCUUGAGUUGAUUUCGAAAGCAGACUUCUUAAGUUGACUUCUUUCAUUUGCAGUAUCUCACAAAUCUCAAAAAUUCGUCACCGUCAUCUCCAUUUUCUCCACCAUCGACAUCGAGACGGGUAGGGAGUUUUGUCCUAACAGGCCGAAGUGCCCAACACAACAAUUAAGCUCAUUUACAAAACAGAACCCAAUAAGUAAAUAAUUGAUCUUCUGUUUGCUCAUGAUCUCUUUUUGUGUAAUGAUUAUCAAUUUUGUCUGUAAUGGUCAUUAAUUGUAAUAAUCAUCAACUGUAGUAGUCUUUUAAUUGUC